UACGAAGGGGGCUAGCGUUGCUCGGAAUUACUGGGCGUAAAGGGCGCGUAGGCGGAUAUUUAAGUUAGAGGUGAAAGCCCAGGGCUCAACCCUGGAAUAGCCCUUUAAUACUGGAUAUCUUGAGUUCGGGAGAGGUGAGUGGAACUCCGAGUGUAGAGGUGAAAUUCGUAGAUAUUCGGAAGAACACCAGUGGCGAAGGCGGCUCACUGGCCCGUUACCGACGCUCAGGCGCGACAGCGUGGGGAGCAAACAGG
rnacentral:rRNA from 1 species